GGUCAGAUGGCCGAGUGGUUAUGGCGCUGCGUUCAGGUUAUCUGAACAAUAAUUUCGCAGUGGAGCAAUCCGCGUGGGUUCGAGUCCCACUCUGAUCA